UCCCCGUGAUUUCCCCGCGCCGAGAAACCACGCGACGAUUUUCCCUGCCACAAUCUGUCGCGCUCUUUGGAAGCACACCCACGCGGGGACAGCAGCCCGUUUCCCUUCAUUUUCCACGCGGAAGAAAUCCAGGAGUCAUGCGGCCGGGAGCGUUUCCUCUUCCCUGACCCCGUCGCUCGCUCGACGACUCACGAGGGGGCGGCCGCCGCCGCCACCGUCGCCAUCACCCCGGCGGCUCAUGGUCGACGCAUCGCUCUUGUCGUGCAUCUCCCGGUGGCCGGCAACUGGUGUGCAUCUCCUGGUUCCCGGCGAUGCAUCUCUCGCGAAUCGCGAUCGUGCCGCCACCGCCGCAAGAUCCACAUCUCGGAGCAGCACCUCCACCUCCACCUCAGCCCCGUCCUCCUAGCAGGGAAAAAUCUCGUAGAUCUUGGGGUGACCGAGCUGCCGUAUCCUCCUCCAUACUCCAGCAUCCAUGGAGAAGCGUCGUGCCACCGAGCCUAUCUCCAUACCUCACUCAGCCGAAGCGUGUGCCAGUAAUUGAUGCUGGAGAUGGCGUGCAUGUGUCUUCAGGUGCAUCAACAAAUGCCGUUGCUGAAGAUGAAGGAGCAGGGUCACCGGAAUUCUGCUCACUGCAACUUUGUCGCUGAAGACAUCUAGCUGACAAUUGACAUCUGUAGAGGUAUUUUGCCGCAGCAGAGUUUGAACCAUUUCGGUCAGCUCUUGCUAGCCCCUAUAGAGGUUUGCUAAUAGCUCUCUCUAGAACAGAAUGAUAUAUGUGUAGUAUGUCUUAGCCUUCUAUAUCUUGUGAUAGAGAGGUGAGUGAGCCCCUUGUUUUGACCAUUUUAUUUGUACAAAGAUAAGGGAGAUAUGCAUGCAACUCACCAGUUCAUGAUAUGAAAUGUGUAUCAAGCAUGACACUUCACGUUGUUCUGCUGCAUAUUCUUGGAACUCACCAUUUCUUUUGUGUUACUUAUACAGGACCAGUGGAAGCAACACAUGAUCAGAGAAAAGUGAAGUGGCCUUCAUAAUUAGCAUCUGAGAAACGUUCAAGAUCAUAGAUAGAUUUUGCUCUUCAUGUCUAUCAUUUUUUAUAUACAUGCACCUACUAUUUGUCCAUUUUUUAUGCUGCUGUUGUCUAUGUAAUAUAUUGGUGUGAGCUGGAGGGCUAAUUUAAAUAUUGGUGCAGAUUUUAGCUUUCAGUUCAUAUAACCUAGUUUAUGUCUGUGUAUUGGAUGUAAAGCAUGGAAACCAUCUGUAUCCAUGCUAGCUAUUACUGAUACUAUAACCUGGUUGACAUGAUUUUAGACUUGAAUUAUGUAUUUGUAUAGAGACUUAGUCCUGAGUUUUUCCUGGUUUGUGGUUCUAACA